AUUGAACGCUGGCGGCAGGCCUAACACAUGCAAGUCGAACGGUAGCACAGAGAGCUUGCUCUCGGGUGACGAGUGGCGGACGGGUGAGUAAUGUCUGGGAAACUGCCCGAUGGAGGGGGAUAACUACUGGAAACGGUAGCUAAUACCGCAUAAUGUCGCAAGACCAAAGAGGGGGACCUUCGGGCCUCUUGCCAUCGGAUGUGCCCAGAUGGGAUUAGCUAGUUGGUGAGGUAAUGGCUCACCAAGGCGACGAUCCCUAGCUGGUCUGAGAGGAUGACCAGCCACACUGGAACUGAGACACGGUCCAGACUCCUACGGGAGGCAGCAGUGGGGAAUAUUGCACAGUGGGCGCAAGCCUGAUGCAGCCAUGCCGCGUGUAUGAAGAAGGCCUUCGGGUUGUAAAGUACUUUCAGCGGGGAGGAAGGCGAUACGGUUAAUAACCGUAUUGAUUGACGUUACCCGCAGAAGAAGCACCGGCUAACUCCGUG
rnacentral:rRNA from 1 species